rnacentral:rRNA from 1 species
GGUGAACGCUAGCGGCAGGCCUAACACAUGCAAGUCGAGGGGUAACUAGAGUGAUAGCAAUAUUACUUUGGCUAGACCGGCGCACGGGUGCGUAACACGUAUGCAACCUACCUUAUACUGGGGAAUAACUUCGAGAAAUCGGCGCUAAUACCCCAUAACAUUGCGAAGAGGCAUCUCUUUGCAAUUAAAGCUCCGGCGGUAUAAGAUGGGCAUGCGUCCAAUUAGCUAGUUGGUGAGGUAACGGCUCACCAAGGCUACGAUUGGUAGGGGUUCUGAGAGGAUGAUCCCCCACACUGGUACUGAGACACGGACCAGACUCCGACGGGAGGCAGCAGUGAGGAAUAUUGCGCAAUGGACGAAAGUCUGACGCAGCCAUGCCGCGUGCAGGAUAACGGCCCUAUGGGUUGUAAACUGCUUUUGUACGGGAAUAAACCCUUCUACGUGUAGGAGGCUGAAGGUACCGUAAGAAUAAGCACCGGCUAACUCCGUGCCAGCCGCCGCCGCAG